AGUGAACGCUGGCGGUAGGCCUAGCACAUGCAAGUCGAACGGCAGCACAGUAAGAGCUUGCUCUUACGGGUGGCGAGUGGCGGACGGGUGAGGAAUACAUCGGAAUCUACUUUUUCGUGGGGGAUAACGUAGGGAAACUUACGCUAAUACCGCAUACGACCUACGGGUGAAAGCAGGGGAUCUUCGGACCUUGCGUGAUUGAAUGAGCCGAUGUCGGAUUAGCUAGUUGGCGGGGUAAAGGCCCACCAAGGCGACGAUCCGUAGCUGGUCUGAGAGGAUGAUCAGCCACACUGGAACUGAGACACGGUCCAGACUCCUACGGGAGGCAGCAGUGGGGAAUAUUGGACAAUGGGCGCAAGCCUGAUCCAGCCAUACCGCGUGGGUGAAGAAGGCCUUCGGGUUGUAAAGCCCUUUUGUUGGGAAAGAAAAGCAGCAGGUUAAUACCCCGCUGUUCUGACGGUACCCAAAGAAUAAGCACCGGCUAACUUCGUG
rnacentral:rRNA from 1 species